GAUGAACGCUGGCGGCGUGCUUAACACAUGCAAGUCGAACGAGGAUUUAACGGAAUGCGAUUCGUCAAAUGAAAUUAAAUCCGAGUGGCGGACGGGUGAGUAACGCGUGGAUAACCUGCCUCACACAGGGGGACAACAGUUGGAAACGACUGCUAAUACCGCAUAACACAAGUAAUUCGCAUGAAUAACUUGCCAAAGAUUAUAUCGGUGUGAGAUGGAUCCGCGUCUGAUUAGCCAGUUGGCGGGGUAACGGCCCACCAAGCGACGAUCAGUAGCCGACCUGAGAGGGUGACCGGCCACAUUGGGACUGAGACA
rnacentral:rRNA from 1 species